rnacentral:rRNA from 1 species
AGCAGCCGCGGUAAUUCCAGCUCCAAUAGCGUAUAUUAAAGUUGUUGCAGUUAAAAAGCUCGUAGUUGAAUUUUAGGCCUGACCGGGCGGUCCGUCUCUGGCGAGUACUGUUCUGUUGUCGGGUCUAUCCUUCUGGUGAGCCGGUAUGUCCUUUAUUGGGUGUGUCGGGGAACCAGGACCAUUACCUUGAAAAAGUUAGAGUGUUUAAAGCGGGCUUUUGCUUGAAUAGAUUAGCAUGGAAUAAUAGAAUAGGACGUUGGUUCUAUUUUGUUGGUCUAGGACCACCGUAAUGAUUAAUAGGGAUAGUUGGGGGCAUUAGUAUUCAAUUGUCAGAGGUGAAAUUCUUGGAUUUAUUGAAGACUAACUACUGCGAAGGCAUUUGCCAAGGAUGUUUUCAUUAAUCAAGAACGAAAGUUAGGGGAUCGAAGACGAUCAGAUACCGUCGUAGUCUUAACCAUAAACUAUGCCGACUAGGAAUCGGGCGACGUUAUUUUCAUGACUCGCUCGGCGCCUUAUG